GACAGAGGGUGCAAACGUUGUUCGGAAUUACUGGGCGUAAAGCGCGUGUAGGCGGCCCUGCAAGUCGGAUGUGAAAUCCCACGGCUCAACCGUGGAAGUGCAUUCGAAACUGCAGGGCUAGAGUCCUGGAGAGGAAGGUGGAAUGCUUGGUGUAGAGGUGAAAAUUCGUAGAUAUCAAAGCGGAACACCGGUGGCGAAGGCGGCCUUCUGGACAGUGACUGA
rnacentral:rRNA from 1 species